CCUACGGGAGGCAGCAGUGAGGAAUAUUGGUCAAUGGACGAGAGUCUGAACCAGCCAAGUAGCGUGAAGGAUGACUGCCCUAUGGGUUGUAAACUUCUUUUAUAAAGGAAUAAAACGAGGCACGUGUGCCUUUUUGCAUGUACUUUAUGAAUAAGGAUCGGCUAACUCCGUGCCAGCAGCCGCGGUAAUACGGAGGAUCCGAGCGUUAUCCGGAUUUCUUGGGUUUAAAGGGAGCGUAGAUGGGUUGUUAAGUCAGUUGUGAAAGUUUGCGGCUCAACCGUAAAAUUGCAAUUGAUACUGGCAGUCUUGAGUACAGUGGAGGUAGGCGGAAUUCGUGGUGUAGCGGUGAAAUGCUUAGAGAUCACGAAGAACCCCGAUUGCGAAGGCAGCUUACUAAACUGUGACUGACAUUGAUGCUCGAAAGUGUGGGUAUCAAACAGGAUUAGAUACCCCAGUAGUC
rnacentral:rRNA from 1 species